rnacentral:rRNA from 1 species
GUCUGCCUACGGGGGGCAGCAGUGGGGAAUAUUGGUCAAUGGUCGGGAGACUGAACCAGCCACGCCGCGUGAGGGAUGAAGGUACAGAGUAUCGUAAACCUCUUUUGUCAGGGAACAAAGGCGGGGACGUGUCCCCGGAUGAGUGUACCUGAAGAAAAAGCAUCGGCUAACUCCGUGCCAGCAGCCGCGGUAAUACGGAGGAUGCGAGCGUUAUCCGGAUUUAUUGGGUUUAAAGGGUGCGAAGGCGGUCUGUUAAGUAAGCGGUCAAAGCCCGGGGCUCAACCCCGGCCGGCCGUUGAAACGGG